GUACUUGCUUCGGCAGUACAUAUGCUAAAAUUGGAACAAUGCAGAGAAGAUUACUCCGGCGCAAGGAUGACACCUAGAGGAUCCGCCUGAGACACGAACAUU